rnacentral:rRNA from 1 species
CACCGCGGUUAGACGAGAGGCCCAAGUUGAUACCCAUAGGCGUAAAGGGUGGUUAAGUUAGUCUCUAUUAAACUAAAGCCGAACGCCCCCAAAACCGUUAUACGUACUCGGAGGUAUGAAGCUCGCCUACGAAAGUGGCUUUAAAAUAGCUGACCCCACGAAAGCUGUGAAA